GAUGAACGCUGGCGGCGUGCCUAAUACAUGCAAGUCGAACGCUGGAGAUCUAGCUUGCUAGAUCGAAGGAGUGGCGAACGGGUGAGUAAUACAUAAGCAACCUACCCACGAAGACUGGGAUAAUCUCUGGAAACGGGGACUAAUACCGGAUAGGUAAUCGGAAGGCAUCUUCUGGUUAUUAAAGGUUAAAAACACUGGUGGAUGGGCUUAUGGCGCAUUAGUUAGUUGGUGAGGUAACGGCCCACCAAGACGAUGAUGCGUAGCCGGCCUGAGAGGGUGAACGGCCACAUUGGGACUGAGACACGGCCCAGACUACUACGGGAGGCAGCAGUAGGGAAUUGUCGGCAAUGGGGGCAACCCUGACCGAGCAACGCCGCGUGAGUGAAGACGGCCUUCGGGUUGUAAAGCUCUGUUGUAAGGGAAGAACGGUAGAUAGAGAAUAUCUAAGUGACGGUACCUUACCAGAAAGCCACGGCUAACUACGUG
rnacentral:rRNA from 1 species